UCUGGAUGCUUUGAUGGUGUAG
rnacentral:miRNA from 1 species